GACAGAGGGUGCAAACGUUGUUCGGAAUUACUGGGCGUAAAGCGCGUGUAGGCGGCUUGGCAAGUCGGGUGUGAAAGCCCUGGGCUCAACCCAGGAAGUGCACUCGAAACUGCUUCGCUCGAGUAUCGGAGAGGAAAGCGGAAUUCUCGGUGUAGAGGUGAAAUUCGUAGAUAUCGAGAGGAACACCUGCGGCGAAGGCGGGUUGCUGGGCUGACACUGACGCUGAUGCGCGAAAGCCAGGGGAGCGAACGGG
rnacentral:rRNA from 1 species